UACGAAGGGGGCUAGCGUUGCUCGGAAUCACUGGGCGUAAAGCGCACGUAGGCGGACUCUUAAGUCGGUGGUGAAAUCCUGGAGCUCAACUCCAGAACUGCCUUCGGUACUGAGAGUCUUGAGUCCGGGAGAGGUGAGUGGAACUGCGAGUGUAGAGGUGAAAUUCGUAGAUAUUCGCAAGAACACCAGUGGCGAAGGCGGCUCACUGGCCCGGUACUGACGCUGAGGUGCGAAAGCGUGGGGAGCAAACAGG
rnacentral:rRNA from 1 species